rfam:Choanephora cucurbitarum strain KTS-F28377 scaffold_787, whole genome shotgun sequence.
GCUCGUUUAGCUCAGUUGGUUAGAGCGUGGUGCUAAUAACGCCAAGGUCACAGGUUCGACCCCUGUAAUGAGCA